rnacentral:rRNA from 1 species
UACGGAGGGGACAAGCGUUGUUCGGAAUUACUGGGCGUAAAGCGCACGUAGGCGGCUUUGUAAGUCAGGGGUGAAAUCCCGGGGCUCAACCUCGGAACUGCCUUUGAUACCGCAAAUCUCGAGUCCGGAAGAGGUGAGUGGAAUUCCUAGUGUAGAGGUGAAAUUCGUAGAUAUUAGGAAGAACACCAGUGGCGAAGGCGGCUCACUGGUCCGGUACUGACGCUGAGGUGCGAAAGCGUGGGGAGCAAACAGG